GAUAAAUUUUAUAUGUUUCUCAUUGUAUUAACCAUUUACUAUGGCUUACAUAUAUAAUUAACUCUAGUUGCCAUCCUGGCCUUAGAAAUGUGAAGAUAGCCAGAACCCCUGCUGUGGCAAUGUGAGGAUGGUGGCCCCUUGGUGACCCCAUGAAACACAAACAUGGUUUAGGUUGAGGAGUUCUUGUAAACAUUCUUAUCUCUGUUAAUUACCAGGUGGUUAAAGACUUACCAGUGUAUCUAGUGAUGUUCCAUGGGUGUGUGUGUGUGUGUGUGUGUUAAGGGUAUAAGAACUGGCUUCACCCACAGAUGUGUGGGCUUGUUACUUUGACUUUCAUGUGAGUAACAUGCUCCCGGUAUCGUGAAUAAAGCUGCAGUCUCACACCAGUUGUCUUGGAAUAAUUUUGACCACAUAUUUGGCGACGAGGAUGGGAUACCUAUCUCUGAGACAUAGUGAGGAGGACCAAAGGCGCAGGACCCAACAAAGUUGCAACUGAGGGAGAUCUCUUUGUGAUCUUGGGAGAAGGCCGUUAACAGCAACCAACACUGCUCAGCGGCACCCAGCCUGGCCAGAGGGAAUCCUCCUGUGACUCGGAUACGGUAACACCCGUGUUUGGUGGUCACAGACAACUUGGUGGUGGCGUUGGCCCUUCCACAAAGUUUGCAAAGGACAAACCCAGCCAAGCCAGGCUUCUACGAACUCAUCAAAGGAUUGCAAAAGAAGAAAACGCCGGAACCAGGACAAGUGGAAAGGACCUUUUCAAGAAUUAUCAUCUACACCUACAUGUAUAGCCAUAAGGAUUUCAGAGUGGAGAAGAAUCCAGAACAUACAUGAACUGAACUGAACAUAACCAACACGUGGUUGCAAGAGAGGGUUGACAAACACAUUUUGCAAUAGACUGAAGAAUAGACUUUUAGGGAGAAUGAAUAAAAUAUCACUAGCAUCACAUUAAAAUAUUCUUUCUCAGUUUAGCUAGAUAAACGUUACAAGUUUGUUGUUUUGGUUUAAUUUUAUUUGGACAGUUACCUGAGGAGGGUCUAAACACCCAAGUCAGCUCUGCUGUUGAAGAAUAGGAUUAGGUUUUAUUUUUGGUUUUGAAUAACUGAGAUAACAGAAGAUGUUGAUGUUUGUUUUGCUUAUUAUUCACCUAAUCAUCCCUUAAGAAAGAAGUUUGUGAUAAUAAUAAAGUCUGUGAGUUAGCCUUCCAUGCUAAAUUAACAUUAACAGGAAAUAAUGAAAUAUGUUGGAUAUGCCAAGAAAAAUAUUUUUAAGUGCGAGUGUUUUCUCUAUUAAGUGUUUCCCUAUAGAACUUUUCAGGAUUCUCUGUGCGGUCUAUUGACUAUGUACCAGCCCUAAAUGUUUAUCAACAGUGACAUGGUCGCAUGCCAAGUGGAACUUCUAAAGAUUCAGAGAAAUACUAGAUAUUAAGAAAGAGGAAACGAUAGAACUAUAAAAUAAGUCUAACCUUCUGUUUAUUGUAUCAUGAAUAUGCAUAUUAUAUAUUGAUGCGAUAGGAAUGGAGCUUCAUAGCUCCACAGGGGGGAAUAUGUGGGAUAAAUUUUAUAUGUUUCUCAUUGUAUUAACCAUUUACUAUGGCUUACAUAUAUAAUUAACUCUAGUUGCCAUCCUGGCCUUAGAAAUGUGAAGAUAGCCAGAACCCCUGCUGUGGCAAUGUGAGGAUGGUGGCCCCUUGGUGACCCCAUGAAACACAAACAUGGUUUAGGUUGAGGAGUUCUUGUAAACAUUCUUAUCUCUGUUAAUUACCAGGUGGUUAAAGACUUACCAGUGUAUCUAGUGAUGUUCCAUGGGUGUGUGUGUGUGUGUGUGUGUUAAGGGUAUAAGAACUGGCUUCACCCACAGAUGUGUGGGCUUGUUACUUUGACUUUCAUGUGAGUAACAUGCUCCCGGUAUCGUGAAUAAAGCUGCAGUCUCACA